rnacentral:rRNA from 1 species
UACGUAGGGGGCAAGCGUUGUCCGGAUUUAUUGGGCGUAAAGAGCGUGUAGGCGGCCAGGUAGGUCCGUUGUGAAAACUCGAGGCUCAACCUCGAGACGUCGAUGGAAACCGCUUGGCUAGAGUCCGGAAGAGGAGAGUGGAAUUCCUGGUGUAGCGGUGAAAUGCGCAGAUAUCAGGAAGAACACCGAUGGCGAAGGCAGCUCUCUGGGACGGUACUGACGCUGAGACGCGAAAGCGUGGGGAGCAAACAGG